rnacentral:tRNA from 1 species
UAAAACAUAGCUAAAAUAGAAUAGCAUCUCACUUACGUUGAGAAGGAUUACUGUGCAAGUCGGUUUGUUUUAA